UACAGAGGUCCCAAGCGUUGUUCGGAUUCACUGGGCGUAAAGGGUGCGUAGGUGGUGAGGUAAGUCGGAUGUGAAAGCUCGGAGCUCAACUCCGAAAUGGCAUUGGAAACUACCUUGCUCGAGGGUUGGAGGGGGGACUGGAAUACUUGGUGUAGCAGUGAAAUGCGUAGAUAUCAGGAGGAACACCGGUGGCGAAGGCGGCACUCUGGGCCGGUACUGACGCUGAGGAGCGAAAGCGUGGGGAGCGAACAGG
rnacentral:rRNA from 1 species